rnacentral:misc_RNA from 1 species
GAUGAAGAACGCAGCGAAAUGCGAUAAGUAAUGUGAAUUGCAGAAUUCAGUGAAUCAUCGAAUCUUUGAACGCACAUUGCGCCCGCUAGUAUUCUGGCGGGCAUGCCUGUCCGAGCGUCAUUUCAACCCUCAAGCCCCCGGGCUUGGUGUUGGGGAUCGGCGAGCCUCCGCGCCCGCCGUCCCCUAAAUCUAGUGGCGGUCUCGCUGUAGCUUCCUCUGCGUAGUAGCACACCUCGCACUGGGAAACAGCGCGGCCACGCCGUUAAACCCCCAACUUCUGAACGUUUGACCUCGGAUCAGGAAGGAAUACCCGCUGAACUUAAGCAUAUCAAUAAGCGGAGGA